CGCUGGCGGCGUGCCUAACACAUGCAAGUCAACUUGACUGAAGGAGCAAUCUGACAGUAGAGUGGCGCAAGGGUGCGUAACGCGUAAGUAACUUGCCCCAAGGUAAGGAAUAACGUCGAGAAAUCGGCGCUAAUACCUCAUAAUGCAGCGGAUCCGCAUGGAUAUGUUGUUAAAGGUUUACCGCCUUGGGAUAGGCUUGCGCCUGAUUAGUUAGUUGGUGUGGUAACGGCACACCAAGGCUACGAUCAGUAACUGGUCUGAGAGGAUGAUCAGUCACACUGGAACUGAGACACGGUCCAGACUCCUACGGGAGGCAGCAGUGAGGAAUAUUGGGCAAUGCUCGAAAGAGUGACCCAGCAACGCCGCGUGGAGGAUGAAGGUAUUCUAUAUCGUAAACUCCUGUGAGAGCAGACGAAAGACAGAUUAUUAAUCUGGAUGACUGUAUGCUCAGAGGAAGCCCCGGCUAACUACGUG
rnacentral:rRNA from 1 species